AAGUAGUUUAUUAAGCUAGUAGUGUUUGUUAAUGGUCUGUUAAUACCUUAAAUUGUGCCCUAAAGGUUUACCACGUUUUGCUUUCUCCUCAGAUAUGCUAUGGCUGUAAUGAACCACCAUGUUUGUCCUGUCGAAAACUGGUCAUACAAUGUGACGUGCACAGAAGAAACAGCCAAACCGGGCUUCCCAAAAACAUGCUGCACCCUUCAAGACAUCCCCCUCAUCAGUAAAUGUGGAUCCUACCCUCCCGAGAGCUGUCUGUUCAGUCUUAUCGGUAAUGUGGGAGCUUUUAUGGGUAAGACCACACGUUCUCAUAUUUCCACAUAUUCCACACCGGCAGUGACAUAUUAAAUAACAGAGAACAAAAGCAUGAAUGGAAGCAGUCAGCAGGCUUGCAAUCAAUGCUGAUGGACCUUAAUAGCAGAGGUGC